rnacentral:rRNA from 1 species
GAUGAACGCUGGCGGCGUGCCUAAUACAUGCAAGUCGAGCGAACAGACGAGGAGCUUGCUCCUCUGACGUUAGCGGCGGACGGGUGAGUAACACGUGGAUAACCUACCUAUAAGACUGGGAUAACUUCGGGAAACCGGAGCUAAUACCGGAUAAUAUAUUGAACCGCAUGGUUCAAUAGUGAAAGACGGUUUUGCUGUCACUUAGAGAUGGAACCGCGCCGCAUUAGCUAGUUGGUAAGGUAACGGCUUACCAAGGCAACGAUGCGUAGCCGACCUGAGAGGGUGAUCGGCCACACUGGAACUGAGACACGGUCCAGACUCCUACGGGAGGCAGCAGUAGGGAAUCUUCCGCAAUGGGCGAAAGCCUGACGGAGCAACGCCGCGUGAGUGAUGAAGGUCUUCGGAUCGUAAAACUCUGUUAUUAGGGAAGAACAAAUGUGUAAGUAACUAUGCACGUCUUGACGGUACCUAAUCAGAAAGCCACGGCUAACUACGUG